GGUUGAUCCUGCCAGCCGGCUACGCUUGUCUCAAAGAUUAAGCCAUGCAUGUCUAAGAAUAAGUGAACACUUCUGCGAAUCUGCGUACAGCUCAUUACAUCAGUUAUUAUCUCUUUGAAAAUGCUUUAACUACAUGGAUACCCGUAGUAAUUCUAGAGCUAAUACAUGCGUCAAGUCUGUGUCUCUCGUGGAUACAGAUGCCGUGAUUAGAUCCAAGCCAACUGGAGUGGGGCAACUCACUUCUAAGUUGAACUCCUAGUAACCUGGCGGACGCCCCUAGUCGGGGCGCGGUU
rnacentral:rRNA from 1 species